UACGGAGGAUGCGAGCGUUAUCCGGAUUUAUUGGGUUUAAAGGAUGCGCAGGCGGCACGGCAAGCCGGCGGUCAAAUCGCGGGGCUCAACCCCGCCCAGCCGUCGGAACUGCCGGGCUAGAGUGGGCGAGAAGUGCGCGGAAUGCGUGGUGUAGCGGUGAAAUGCAUAGAUAUCACGCAGAACUCCGAUUGCGAAGGCAGCGCACCGGCGCCCUACUGACGCUCGGGCACGAAAGCGUGGGUAUCGAACAGG
rnacentral:rRNA from 1 species